UAGGAGGGCGCGGCGGUCGCUGCA
rnacentral:snRNA from 1 species